rnacentral:rRNA from 1 species
UACGUAGGGGGCAAGCGUUGUCCGGAAUCAUUGGGCGUAAAGCGCGUGUAGGCGGUUCGGUAAGUCUGCUGUGAAAGUCCAGGGCUCAACCCUGGGAUGCCGGUGGAUACUGUCGAACUAGAGUACGGAAGAGGCGAGUGGAAUUCCCGGUGUAGCGGUGAAAUGCGCAGAUAUCGGGAGGAACACCAAUUGCGAAGGCAGCUCGCUGGGACGGUACUGACGCUGAGACGCGAAAGCGUGGGGAGCGAACAGG